rnacentral:rRNA from 1 species
GGAGCUUGCUCCUGAAGAUUAGUGGCAAACGGGUGAGUAAUACAUAGGAAUCUACCUAACAGUAUGGAAUAACCUUGGGAAACCAAAGCUAAUACCAUAUAUUACCGAUUUAUCGGGAAAGAUUUAUCGCUGUUAGAUGAGCCUGUGGCGGAUUAGCUAGUUGGUAGGGUAAUGGCCUACCAAGGCAAUGAUCUGUAGCUGGUCUGAGAGGAUGAUCAGCCACACUGGGACUGAGACACGGCCCAGACUCC